AAUGUUUCAAAAGCCUGGAAACGCCCCUGGUUGGAGGUUGGAAAUUUCCCAUUUCCAAGUUGCCUGUAACGCAGCAUAACUCUUCACACUUCGGAUCUCUGUUUUUCUUCUUGACAAGUAACAAGUAUGGCUGACCUGUUCCUGAUGGCAGUGCUGCUGGUUGUCUGCCUGUUGCUGUGGGUUUUGAACAAAAAAAGGCAUGCUGUGGACCCACACAUGCUUGCUGCAAUUAUAAAUGGAAUCUUGAGAGAGUAUGGAACAGAUGGCAUGUUCAGUCUGGCUGUAAGGAUCCCAUUCAAACAGAACCAGAAUCUGGACCAGAUUCUUCCGCAUGUCUUCAGAAGUGAUCCUGGUGAAUUUGUGAAGAAUAAUAUCAACAAUAACCAGGUGUACAUCGGCAACAGUGUGGUUGCAGCCAGAGUUCUGCCACGGCCCAAUGGAGGAGCUGAUCACGCAGAGUCACGUGUUUUGGACUACUUGCACCACUUGAUAAACGGGCCUGAUAAUAAUUAUCUGUUGCUUUUCUUUGUUUAUGCUUUCCCAUGUGUUGAAAAAUGUUUGACAUCAUAAGAACAUUCUCCAAAGAAUACAAAUCAUCUGUCAAUUAAAGAAUCGUGCUUUUGUGUUUUCAAAAA